UACGUAGGGUGCAAGCGUUGUCCGGAAUUAUUGGGCGUAAAGAGCUCGUAGGCGGUUUGUCGCGUCUGCUGUGAAACCCGAGGCUCAACCUCGGGCCUGCAGUGGGUACGGGCAGACUAGAGUGCGGUAGGGGAGAUUGGAAUUCCUGGUGUAGCGGUGGAAUGCGCAGAUAUCAGGAGGAACACCAAUGGCGAAGGCAGAUCUCUGGGCCGUAACUGACGCUGAGGAGCGAAAGCAUGGGGAGCAAACAGG
rnacentral:rRNA from 1 species